rnacentral:lncRNA from 1 species
ACGUCGCCGCAACUCCUCCCUUCUCUUGUCUUCUUUUUUUGCCUCUUUUUUUUCUUCUCUUCUUUUUCUUCUUCCUGCCUCUCCUUCUCCUCAUGUUCCCUCCGCCUCUUUUUCUUUUAUUUUUUUUGUUUCCUCUCUUCUCUCAACGGUGAAGACAGCCGUCACCGCAUUCAUCCCUUUCUUUCUCUUUUUUCUUUUUCUCUCUCUCCUUAUUUCCUCUUCUUUUGUCUCCUCCUGCUUCCUUGCCGCCCUUAGCGGCAGUGACACCACCCCCCAUUUCUUCCUCUUGAUGAUCAGGAAGACAACAAAAGCAUACAAAAAAGGUACAACAACGAAAACCCUUCCUUUCUACUCAUCUUCCCUGAUUUUACUCCGAUUCAGGCUUGCAUGUCGCUGGAGGAUGCCUCCGGUGAGUCCUCCAGUGACAUGCAUGCCCCGAUCUGGGAUCUAGGGUUAGAGUUUUCAUUUGUAUAGCCUUUCUCUGACUUUUAUUGUUAUAUUUCAGUUGGUAUCGGUGGAACGAGAGGGGAGGAAAGCAGAAGAAAGAAAAAGGUGCCACCAACGAUGGACCUGUCGGUCGGAGAAAAGGCGGACGAGAAAGGUAAAAACUUAGUUUUUACAUUUGCUCUGCUUUUUCUUGGUGGAUGACGGUAGUUUUGUUGAUUAGGUCACUUGGAAUAAAAACUGGGCUAUUUUAUUGUUAACAUGAGCUUAGUAAUCUGAACUCUCUAAAAACUACCCAUUUUCUUGAAAAAUUGAUUAUUUAGUGUCAUCCUUGAUAAAAUUCAGCAACUUGUUUUAACGAAGAACUCAUGUUUUUGCUUGAUGUUGAUGCCGCGUUCCUAGUCUUGGAGUGAUUUUUGAAUCCUUGCUACUAAUGCACUGAGAGUACCAUAGGCUCAGCUCCGCUACCAUGAAAUGUCGGGGGAAAACUGCAGAAUGGGGAAGGGAUUGGGAACUUUGUUGUUAAUUUUAAUUUUUUAACCUAAAAUUGGGGUACUGUAUAGUAGUGUAGGAUGACGCGUGACGACGCGCUUUGGGUGUUGGGAUAAUUAUCUUUGUUAUCGGUUAAAGUAGGUUAACUCGAGUUAACCGACGAUAUUUUUUAACUAAUUUACCGUUUCACCAAAUUUAGCCACUACCUUUAACCAUUCCCUGGGAAACCUCUUGUUCGAUUAAACCGUCAUGUACCGACUUGAUCGGUUAAUCGGUUUUAUCGAGACAGAAAUGCCAUCCAUAAUUUUGGCAUUCUCCUAGGCACUACCAAUCAUCCCAAAACUCAAAUUCUUUUAUCUAGAAACUGCUUCAUAAUAUCCUACCUUUUGGCUGAUGGUUUAAUUAGUCAAAAUGUUGAUAUUCCAUCUUUAUGUUAGGUGUGUACUUUUUUCAUCAGGUUUGUGGUCGAUAACUAUCAUAUGGUGGCGCUAUGGAGAUCCUAUUGCCUUACAAACAAAGCGAAUGCUACCAAGUUGGUUUAUUUUUUGUGGCGGGUUUGAAAAUUAAGGAACUUGAGGGUUUCGAGCACUUACAAUACCCAAUCCAUGCGAUAUGUUAACAAUUUCUUUACAUUGGAUGGAAGGAGGAUGAUGUAAAGCUGGUUCAAUAACAAUUCCAUCGACUCAAGUCUUUCAUCCACCUCGACGCUAUUCACGAAAUCCAACUUGACGAUUUUACGUUAAUGUUGUUGUAUGUCCACCUUCCGCAACCUUCAUUAUGGGUCAAUUGGGGCGGUGGUAUUGAGACAAUGUGGAUUUACAAUUUCAGUUAUAGGGCUCAUCAUCAAGCAUAUUAUGGACCCCUCAUUCUUUAAUUUCAGGCCAUCUGAUAAGCAUUUUACGUUGCUCGUACAAAACCUGAUGACUCGACUAUCAUCUUCUCUGAUUCUACAGAAGUUGUGUAUCUCAUCAACUCCUCGCUCAAUGAUGCCAGUGUCGGACAACUUAUUUCUGAACGUCGAUUCCUUCUUCGUUCCGUCUCUCUAGUUUCCCUUCAUUUUAUCUGUUGUUGGGUAAUUGUGUCGCCCAUUCAGUGACACGUGAGGCUCUUAAUUACCCGAUCAUCUCUUAUUCCAUCCCUUUGUUGUAUUGUAUUCCCCCCUUAGGGGUUAAUACUUGUUAUUCUCGUUGGUUUCUUGAGUAUCAUGACAUGAUAUCUUUGACUAAAAAAACUAUACCUAUUGUCAAUAUAUAAAAAGGUUGCUCCUCUAUUAACGACAAAAUCCUAAGCAGCGACACAUUCACUUAAGAAGUAACAGGUGCAAGCUGUCAAUAACUAGGCUUGUGAAAUUUC